AAUAGAUUCUUGAGUGUCAUGACAUGUUGACAAUGUAGAAAAGUAAUUUGAUUGGUUAGCUACUGUUUCUCAACAAUGUAAACCAAAUUCAAAUAGAAAGGGGGGGAAUAUACAGUACAUAAAGAUGUCUAUGGGUGCAUGUUGACUUAGAAAAACACAUAAUAACAUUAUCUAAGUUAUUGUAUUUUUAUUUUUUUUUGUUAGGUAUUUCUCAAUUACCUUUUAAUCCAGUUUAGCUGCUCUUGGGUUUGUUGUGAGACCCUGAAAAGCACAGGCCUUGUGUUUGACACUUCUGAUAGAAGCAAUCAUUUAAGAUCGACCAUCUCUGCAAAGGGAGAAGGAAAGUACAUCCUUCAGGAAUGACCAGCAGGAUUUCAGAGAGGCCUGGAGAGAUUUACAUGAACUGAUGCUGAGUGAAAUGAGCAGAACCAAAAGAUCAUUAUACACUUCAACAACAGUACUAUAUGAUGAUCAAUUCUGAUGGGCGUGGCUCUCGUCAACAAUGAGAUAAUUCAAACCAGUUCCAAAUGUUCAGUAACGAAGAAAAUCAGCUUCACCCAGAGAGAGAAAUGAGUGUGGUCCACAACAUAGCAUUUCCAUUCUUUCUGUUAUUGUUUGCUUGUAUUUUUGUUUUCCUUCUCAAGUUUUUUUUUACUUUCUUCCUAGAUCAGGUUUUUCUUUAGCAACAAGAUAACAGUAUAAAUAUGUAUACAUAUGUUGUAUUUAACAUAUACUUUAACAUAUUUAACAUAUAUUGAUCUACCUGCCAUCUAGGGGAGGGAGUGAGGAGAAGAUGAGGAAAAAUUGGAACAGAAGGUUUUGCAAGGGUCAGUGUUGAAAAAUUAGCCAUGCAUAUGUUUUGUAAAUAAAAAGCUAUAAUAAUAAUAAUAAUAAUAAUAACAAUAAAACUCUUCUUCAGGCCAAACUUAGAAACUAAAAUUAUUAUACUCUGUUCAGUUCUCAUUUAUAUUAUUGUAGUGAUUUUUGUAUAGAUUUUUUUUUCCUGGUUCUGCCAUGUCAUGCUGCAUCAAUUCAUAAGUCUUCACAUUCUUCUUUUAGUUUUUCAUGUUCCUCAUUUCUUAUAGCACAGAGAAAUUCCAUUAUAUUGCUAUACUACAGUUCAAUGAUUUCAUAAUCAGUUAUACUUUUUAGAAUUUAAUACCCAUGCCAUUUAAAAUAGCAAAAUGUUAUUUAAAUCCUACUGAAUGGAGAAAGGCUAUCACUAUGAUACAAAUCAUCCUAAGAAACAACUUAGAUUUAUAUAAAACUUAAAGGAUGCCAAAGAAUUUUACAAAUGUUACCAAAUUUUAUUCUGGACAAAAGCCCAGUAAGGUAGAUUGAUUGGUUGGUUGUUGUCUGUUUUCCAAGACCACCAAAAUGACUUCACUAUGUUAGAGUCAAGUUACCUUGUGUCUGACUGGCUGAUCAGACCAAUGCAAGCUCAGAAUGCUCUGCUAUAGGUCAGGUACAAAUAAUCCAUGUGAACAUUUGAGGGAGGUUCUCUAACUGCACAACUCAUGUUUCUUUUUGAGCUCCUUCAAUUCUGUUUUGCUCAAAGAGCACAGCACCUUCUCUGAUGGAGCCACAUCAUGCUGGGCAGUCCUGUUCCAGUGUCUCCCAUGUCAUACAAUCAAUUCUAAAGUUCUUAAGAGAGACCUUGAGAGGGUCCUUGUGUUGCUUUUCUGACUAUGUGAAUAUUUGCUGUGUGUGUUCUUCAUAAAUAAUCUUUUUGGAAAGUAUACAUUUGGCAUUCAAACAAUGUGGCCAGCCCAAGUAAGUUAUGCCCUGCAUUAGAAUGUGAGUGCUUGGCAGUUUAGUUUGAGAAAGAACCUCACUGUCUGGUAUCUUUUCCUUCCAGGUGAUCUUCAAAAUCUUCCUAAGACAAUUCAAAUGGAAGUGAUUUCAUCUCCUGGGAUGGUGCUGGUACACUUUCCAGGUUUUACAGCAUACAACAAUGAGGUCAACGCCACAGCUCUGUAGACCUUCAGUUUGUAGUUAGUCUAAUAUCUCUCCUCUCCCACACUUUCUUUCCCAAACACUAACUAACUCUUGCAUUGCAUGUGUCAACCUUAUUAUCAAUGUGGAUUUCUCUGGAAAAUAUACUGCCAAGGUAAAUGAAUUUAUCCACAGUAUUCGAAACUUCUCCAUUUGUUGUAACUGAUGAUGCCAAAUAGUGAUGAUGUGGUGCUAACUGAUGUCAUACCUGUGUUUUCUUGCCAUUAAUUGUUAGGCUGAAAUUAGCACAAGCAGCAGAGAAUUGAUCCAUACUUUAUUGUGUCUUAGCUUCAGAGGCUACAUUGAGGACACAAUCAUCCGCAAACAAAAAUUUGUGCACCAAGUCUCCCUCCACUUUAAUUUUGGCUUUUGUAGCCUUUUCAAGGUGAAGAAUUUACCAUUACUGCAGUAGCUGACCUUGAUGCCAUGUUUGUCCUCCUUGAGGCUAUUUGACAACUGGCUGAAAACAUCAUGAUAAAAAGUAUGGGAGCAAGCAUACAGUCUUGUUUCACUACACUGGUAGGUGGGAAAGUGUGAAGUCAUUGUCCAUUGUCCAGAACCUGGGCAAGCAUGUCCUUGUGAAACUCAUGUACAAUACUUUAAAACUUUUCUGGACAGACAAAUUUUGACAUAAUUUUCCAUAAGUCUUCACAACUGAUAGUAUCAAACUGACAGCCCUUUGUCAGAUCUACAAAUAUUGUGUCUAGAUCUCUGUUCUGCUUCUGGCAUUUCUCUUGAAGUUAUUGGGCAACAAGCACCAUAUUGACUGUUCCUCAGUCCUUUCUGUAGCCACACUGUCUCUCAGUGAGGUAAGGAAUGCAGGAUUGUUUUCCCCAUUUUGCCUAUAAGGAAACUGAAAUUGCAGAGAAGUGAAAUUACUUGUUGAGGAUGGUGCAGCUCAUAAGUAAUAGAGUGGAGCCAUAGGUCUUUAUAUUUCAUUUUUAGUGUUAUUUGCACAAAACUAGGCUUCUGCCAUUAUGAUAAAAGUGACACUAAUACAUUUUCUUCACCCAAAGGAACAAUUUCCUAGGUUAAUAAUAAACUAAUAUGAGAUUAGCUGCAUAGUAGUACAAAUAGUGAAUUAAUCAACAGAUAUUCAUUGCAUUCUUAGGAUGUGCCCGAUAUUUUUUGUUCACAGUCACAUAGGGAUGCCACUUAUUACAAGAAACGUCUCACAGACCAAAUCAAAUAUGAUUAAGCAAGGCUGAACUCUAUAUUAUAGAGUAAGCAAUGUUCUUUCAGGUGUUAUAGAUUUUUAAAAUGGGAGGAAAGAAAGGGUCUAAGGAAUAAGAGGAGGCAUUGUAAAGGAGUUGAGAGAAGCCAAGGAGGAGCCAGGGAAGGGCCUGGUUAAGAAAAAAUUCACAUGUGGACAAUCAAGACAGUCUCAGAAAUUGGACUAAGUCUAUGAUAAUGGAAACAAGAUUAUGGGUAGGUUAAAGUUACUAAUUAAAAUUCCACAUCAUUCCCUCCUUCUUCAAUUGUUAAAGUAGUCUUUUGAAAAGUGGGUGGGGCUCCUCCAUAAAUGGGAUGAGUGCUCAAUAUUUUAUUAGAUGCUGUGGGAAGUAUAGAAGUCUUCGUUGAAAAUUCAUUUAAACCAACAACAGGUCUGAGUUCCUUCUAUGUGCAAAGCAAUGACUUUUAUCCUUAAAGAAUUUAAUUGGGGAGGCAAUGUUAGCAAAGGAAACAAUUUGCAAAUGACAAGGGACAAUCCAGAAUUAACUGUGAGCACCAGCGCAGCAGCAUAUUGUAGUGGAGAGAAUUCUAGAGUAAGACUCAGGAAAACACGGGCUCAAAUUUCAACUCAAAUAUUGACUUACCAGUUGAUCCUGGACUUAAUUUCUCUCUGUUGGCCUCUGUUCCCUUAUCUCUAAAAUAAUGGUCUUGAAUGAGACCUUGUGAAGAUUUCUCAAAAAGACUAUGGGGUGGAGUAGGUCAGACCUUAAGCCUAAAUUUCAGGAAGCCACAUGAUCCACAUUCUCAGAAAUGUAAGGCAGAAAAGAUCAAACCAUAGAUCUAAGCUUCAGAAAAUCAUGUGACCUCCAGAAAGUAAACAGCGUUGUUGACCAUUGGUCAAUCCAUUUGUCAGUUGGUCAAUCUUUUUUGGUCCAUCCAAUGAUUUAAAAAUCAACAGGAAGUAGGAUUUGUGCCUGAUUCUUUCCUGCCAUAUAAUCCAUUCUCUCUUUCUGUCAUGUGCCAUAUAUCAUGCUGGACUAUCCAGUUAGUGUGCUUGGACUUCUCCUUGCAAGGACUGAAUAAAUGCUUAAUGUUUGUAUCUGCAGAUGCCUCUGAGUAGUAGGGUCUAACACCCUCUCCCGCAUAGUCUCAAUGACAUCUAUUAUCCCUUACAGGUCUAAAUUUAUGCUCCUUCAAUCCUAAGAGGCAAAUUAUAUGGUUUUGGUACCUAAUUCCGAAGAUGAGCAAAGAGUUUGUUCAGACUAGAGAAGCCAGGAAAAAAAAUGCCUUGAUAGUAUUUAGGUGGAUCCUGGGGAGGGUAUUCUAAGCAAAAGGAAGUGAAAGUGUGGGUAAAAAUGAACCUAGAAUGUGUGAAUGGACUAGCUUGAUGAUCUGUGGAUGGAGGUAGAAUGGAAAGCCAGGUGGGAUAUAGAUUGAAUUUGAUGCAGAAGAAAAUAAAGAACUAUUUUAAUAUUUUUGACCAGAGGAGUUACAAUAUGAAACUGUGAUCUGAGGAAGAUUAGUCUGGUAUAAAAUGCAGAAUGACCUGAAAUUGGGAGAGACUAAAGUCAGAAAGACAAAUAAGUCCAAGUGUAAUGAAGGCUUGAGGUAGAAGGGUGGUAACAAUGAAAACAGGAAGAAAGAAUAUUUCAAAGUAAUGAUAAAACGUGGCUAAUAUUUGGGGAAAAAAUGUGAAAGCCUUUACAUACUAUCUUUUCCACAGGGAUGAGAAUAAGAUCCACUUAGAUAAUAUAAGAAUUGCUUAUUUAGCUAUAAAUAGAUAUAUGAAGUAUAAGAGAACUUUAAAAAACCCAAUUUUAUUAAUUAUAUAACAAAAAGCACUAUAAGCCAGUUAUUCACUUUCUGAGUGAAGGUCAACAAUAAGGAAAUGUAAUCCUUUAGCAAAUAUGAUAUUCAACGAUAGGUUACAUCUUCUUGUCCAGAUAGACUUUGGAAUGUUCUUAGCAUAAUUAUUUUUUGAAAUAAUUUAAGAAUCAUACCCCAAAUGUUGAAUUUUCUCUAUUGAUAGUAGGCUUUCUUUUGUUUUUUGGAUAAUACUAGGAUUCUUUUAUAAUUUUCACCUUAUUAUUUAUCAUUUUCAAAGUAAUUUCCUCACAAACAUUCCUGUAAGGUAGAAGCUAUAGUACCAUACCCAUUUUGCAGAUGAAGAAACUUGGGGAAGCUGUAUAAAUUUGCAGGAUGAUGUAGUUGCUAACUAUUGAAGCUGGAAACUUCUGCCUGCAAGUCCAUUGCUCUUUCUCACACAUGAUUAACAAUAAUAAUAACAAUAAAUACUCUCUGGUUCAUCAUUUUUCAUUACUUGAGGUUCAGUUAGAUGUCACUGAGGAAGUCACAAGUCUGAAAUGUUCAUAAUCCUGGGAUCUAACAGAUAGAUGCCCAAUUCCUUCUCACCUUUCCCAUGGAAAAUAUAGCUAUAUAAACUCACACUUAGAAUUCUGGCUUCAGUAUUAUCGUUUAUAACUCAAGUAUCUUUUCUGAUAGCAAGUAAAAGAGCUAGGGAAGCAUGAGGAUAGUCAACAAAUACUUAUUAAGCACAUGCUAGGCAACUGUGCUAAGCAUUGAGGACACAAAGAAAGGCAGAAACUGUCCCUGCCCUCAAGGAGCUUAUAAUUUAAUGGAGAGACAGAAUGUAAACAACUAUGUAUAAGCAAGAUAUGUGCAUAAUAACCUCUAGGUAAUCUUAAAAGGAAGGCACUAGCACUAAGGAGGAUAGGAAAAAGCUUCUUUCAGAAGAUAAGAUUUUAGUUAAGAUUUGAAGGAAGCCAGAGAUACAGAGAAGAAAGGCAUUUUCAGGCAUAAGAGAAAGCUAAUGAAAAUGCUGGGAGUCAGAAAAUGGAAUAUCUUAUGAAAGGACAGUGUCACUGAAAUAUAGAAUAUGUGAAGAUAAUGUGGGGAAUAGAUAAGGUGAAGAACUUACAGGAAUGUAUGAAUUCUUUUUCUGUAUUUUAUUAUUUCUAUGUGUCCUCUAUGACCUGUAUAAUUUGUGCGGGCUCAUAUCUACUUGAGCCUUGGCCAGCUAGAAACAUAUUUACUUAACCUGAGCUGAUGACGUUUAUUGGUAGUUGACAUUUAUCGAUAUUUAGUCUAUUAGCUGCAGCACUGCCUGCUUGAUUAAGCCUGAAGGCCCGACUUUCUGUUUCCUAGAAAUCAGGAGAUUUCAGGGAAACAGAAACUUUCCAUUCCAAUCUCCCCAAAUAGCAACAACCAAUUAGAUGCCUCCCCCUUCCCUUCUCAAUGCUCUCUUACUUGUGAUGUAACUUCUUGUAUAAAAGCUAUGUAUCUUUACUACUUCUUUAGCCCUCCUACCGCGACCUUUCUCUUUCUUAUCUCGUGAUGGGACGGCUCAUCCUCCCGAGGUUUUCAAUAAACAACUUUUCUGCCUUUUA